UCCUAAAGAAGCCAUCGCUUCUACACCCCAAAAAAACUCAUGCCAUCCUUUAUUUUUGUCGCACACCUCCUUGUAAUCUCAUGCCCAACCUCUUUGUAAUACCCUAAUAGAUCAUAUCUCAUUUGAUCUUAGGCGUUCAAAUCCAAAGGGAGGGGUUAGAUGCGAUGAAAUUAGGUUGUGCGGCAAGAAAAGAAACUCCCAUCUAAAAUAGUGCACACCCC
rnacentral:lncRNA from 1 species